UAAUAAUUCAAAAUAUAUGCUACAAAAAUUCUCCCAUAACACAGUGUUAAUUAGGUAAUAUGACAAAUGCAUCAACACCUUAAAAUUAGUGGAAUAUGAUUUAAUAAACUACUUUUUGCUUGAAAGGAUUAGUGUAGUUUGAUAGAAAACAGUGCUACAUCUCUUUAUUCACAAGUAUUUAAAUUUUAUAUUAAUUUUACUUACAAAAAUGAUCAUGUAUAUAAAAUAGGAAAAAUGCAGGCAAUCAGAAAAUGAUAUUCACUAAUAUAACUCAUAAUUCACAAAGCACAGCCUUGUAUAUUAUUUUAUUGUGCAGGGUAGUAACAUGAAUUCACUUAAAACAAAUUGGCAUCCUGUCAGUAUAUGCCUUUUUCCACUAGGAAACAUAACAAGACAAAUGUUUGAGCUGCAAACACAUUUUCUUAUUUAAUAGCCACUAACAGCCAUAAUUAGUUCUUGGAAACUGUAAUCCAAUCAAGUGUGAUUAUAAUUAAAUAUAUACACACAAAGAUAAUUAUGAAUCUUUCUGGCAAUAGUAAAUAAAGUUAUCUAUUGUUGAAAUAUGAUCACUAUUUUUGACUAUUGGUAAAAGUAUUAAUUUCUGGUCAACAGUCAUUUUCACUCUUAGAUUAGGUUGGAAUAUAAGUGGCUAUGUGGAAAUAUGCAUCCUAGUAUAAAAGUUUGCCCAAAGAUUUGUUUAAUGAUAGGUACAGAGACUCUAAUUUAUUAAUUUCAACAUAUGAGUUUGGUUUUUAAAAAUAUUAAAGAGAUUAUAAUUACUGAACGAGGGAGGAGGGAAAAUAAAGAUGACAAAGAGAAAAGAGCCAGAGAAGCAGGGAGAGGUGAAUAGGCAGAGGAAAUAGGGAUGGGGUGGAGUGGAGCAACGCAGAGACAGACAAGGAUAGUCACUGCAAAGAUAAGAACAAUAGAGAAGAAUUCAAGGGGAAUAAUGUUACCUCCAUAGAAGACCCUAUAAUCAGAAAGCCAUAAAUAUGGGACCAACUAUUUUUUAAUUUAUUUGAUAGGAAUUGAGGUUAGACUGUAAUAUUGGACAUGACUCAAUUCUGAAUUCAAUGCAUAUGCAGAUUUUAUUGCACUUACCAUUCAAUAUGAUUAUUCACAUCACCUUUGUUUCAUAAUUUAAUUUUAAAAAACUGGAUUUGAACUAUUAAAAAUUAUAAAAUUAAUUACAUUCAGCUUCAACCUGUUGAAACAAACCUGUUAGCAUGACCCCUGCUGGUAGUCAUCUAAACAUGUAUUGGGGUUGGAUAUUUAGGUCCCAGGAAUUUCUGCAUGUUGGUUAAUAUGAUUUAAAAAAAAAAAGAAAAAGAAACAUAGAGUGGGUAAAUUAGGCCUUUUUGUUCUGUGUUUCAUGUUAAUUGUGUGCAAGACACUCUGCUAGGCAUGUAUUAGUUUUAUUCCUGGAUUUGGGCAAAUAUCUGGGAGUGGAAUUGCUAUGUCAUAUAUGUAUAUAUAUAUGUAUAUAUAUAUGUGUAUAUAUAUGUAUAUAUAUGUGUAUAUAUAUGUAUAUAUA
rnacentral:lncRNA from 1 species